rnacentral:sRNA from 1 species
UUUUGCCCCCGACAGAGGCGGAAAGCAUUUUGAAAAUGCCAAGCCAACAAAAAAUCUUGGAGAGAAUGGCGGGAUAAGGC